rnacentral:rRNA from 1 species
UACGUAGGGGGCAAGCGUUGUCCGGAUUUAUUGGGCGUAAAGAGCGUGUAGGCGGCCUGGCAGGUCAGCUGUGAAAACUCGAGGCUCAACCUCGAGACGUCGGUUGAAACCACCUGGCUAGAGUCCGGAAGAGGAGUGUGGAAUUCCCGGUGUAGCGGUGGAAUGCGCAGAUAUCGGGAGGAACACCCGUGGCGAAAGCAGCUCUCUGGGACGGUACUGACGCUGAGACGCGAAAGCGUGGGGAGCGAACAGG